CUCAUGAUGAAAAUUUUGGUCCGUGUUUAUGAUUUUUUUAUGAUUAUACAAUCAACCUCUUCUGAUAAAC